rnacentral:rRNA from 1 species
CAGUCGCCGCGGUAAAACGGAGGGUGCAAGCGUUAAUCGGAAUUACUGGGCGUAAAGCGUGCGUAGGCGGUUCGUUAAGUCUGUUGUGAAAGCCCCGGGCUCAACCUGGGAAUGGCAAUGGAUACUGGCGAGCUAGAGUGUGUCAGAGGAUGGUGGAAUUCCCGGUGUAGCGGUGAAAUGCGUAGAGAUCGGGAGGAACAUCAGUGGCGAAGGCGGCCAUCUGGGACAACACUGACGCUGAGGCACGAAAGCGUGGGGAGCAAACAGGAUUAGAUACCCGUGUAGUCCCUGUCUCUUAUAC